GAUGAACGCUGGCGGCGCGCCUAGCACAUGCAAGUCGAACGGUUAAAGCACCUUUUAGGUGUGUAUAAAGUGGCGAACGGCUGAGUAACACGUGGGCAACCUGCCCUCCUCUUGGGGAUAGCCUCGGGAAACCGAGGAUAAUACCCGAUACUUCAAUGUGGCCGCAUGACGACAUUGAGAAAGCUUUUGCGGGGAAGGAUGGGCCCGCGGCCUGUUAGCUUGUUGGUGGGGUAGAGGCCUACCAAGGCAAUGAUGGGUAGCUGGGUUGAGAGACCGACCAGCCAGACUGGGACCUAGACAAGGCCCAGACUCCUACGGGAGGCAGCAGUGGGGAAGCUUGAACAAUGGGCGAAAGCCGGAUGCAGAGACGCCGCGUGCGGGACGAAGGCCUUCGGGUUGUAAACCGCUUUCAGCAGGGACGAGGCGAUAAGUGACGGUACCUGCAGAAGAAGCCCCGGCUAACUACGUG
rnacentral:rRNA from 1 species